UACGGAGGGGACUAGCGUUGUUCGGAAUUACUGGGCGUAAAGCGCACGUAGGCGGAUUUGUAAGUCAGGGGUGAAAUCCCGGGGCUCAACCUCGGAACUGCCUUUGAUACUGCAAAUCUCGAGUCCGGAAGAGGUGAGUGGAAUUCCUAGUGUAGAGGUGAAAUUCGUAGAUAUUAGGAAGAACACCAGUAGCGAAGGCGGCUCACUGGUCCGGUACUGACGCUGAGGUGCGAAAGCGUGGGGAGCAAACAGG
rnacentral:rRNA from 1 species